UACAGAGGGUGCGAGCGUUAAUCGGAGUGACUGGGCGUAAAGGGCAUGUAGGCGGAUAAAUUAGUCUGAUGUGAAAGACUUGGGCUUAACCUGAGAUGUGCAUUGGAAACGGUUUGUCUAGAGUUUGGGAGAGGGAAGUGGAAUUUCCGGUGUAGCGGUGAAAUGCGUAGAGAUCGGAAAGAACACUCGUGGCGAAGGCGGCUUUCUGGCCCAAAACUGACGCUGAGGUGCGAAAGCGUGGGGAGCAAACAGG
rnacentral:rRNA from 1 species